GAUGAACGCUGACAGAAUGCUUAACACAUGCAAGUCGAUGGGGAAGUGGUGCUUGCACCCUGGUAACCAUGGCGGACGGGUGAGUAACGCGUAAGGAACUUACCUGCGGGACCGGGAUAACAGCAGGAAACUGCUGACAAGACCGGAUAAGGUCAUUAAGCUGCAUAGCUUAGUGAUGAAAGGAGACGCCUGCGGAGAGCCUUGCGUCCUAUUAGCUAGUUGGAGGGGUAACGGCCCACCAAGGCGAAGAUAGGUAGCCGGCCUGAGAGGGUGGACGGCCACAAGGGGACUGAGAUACGGCCCUUACUCCUACGGGAGGCAGCAGUGGGGAAUAUUGGACAAUGGGGGCAACCCUGAUCCAGCAAUUCUGUGUGCACGAAGACGGUUUUCGGAGUGUAAAGUGCUUUCAGCAGGGAAGAAGGAAGUGACGGUACCUGCAGAAGAAGCGACGGCUAAAUACGUG
rnacentral:rRNA from 1 species